AUUGAACGCUGGCGGCAUGCCUUACACAUGCAAGUCGAACGGCAGCGCGGGAGCAAUCCUGGCGGCGAGUGGCGAACGGGUGAGUAAUAUAUCGGAACGUGCCCAGUAGUGGGGGAUAGCCCGGCGAAAGCCGGAUUAAUACCGCAUACGACCUACGGGUGAAAGGGGGGGAUCGCAAGACCUCUCGCUAUUGGAGCGGCCGAUAUCAGAUUAGGUAGUUGGUGGGGUAAAGGCCUACCAAGCCUGCGAUCUGUAGUUGGUCUGAGAGGACGACCAGCCACACUGGGACUGAGACACGGCCCAGACUCCUACGGGAGGCAGCAGUGGGGAAUUUUGGACAAUGGGCGCAAGCCUGAUCCAGCAAUGCCGCGUGCAGGAAGAAGGCCUUCGGGUUGUAAACUGCUUUUGUCAGGGAAGAAAUCCUCUAGGCUAAUACCUUGGGGGGAUGACGGUACCUGAAGAAUAAGCACCGGCUAACUACGUGCCAGCAGCCGCAGUAAAAC
rnacentral:rRNA from 1 species